CAGGCCCAGGGCAGGUCAUGUGGCCAUGUGGUUUCGCUUUUCCAGUGAUGAACUUCUCUGGAGCAGCACCCGUUUCAGAGAGAGAGGGGCGAACAUAUCCAGACAACUUCUUAGCCAUGACCCUAUAUUUGCUUCAGAUGAUCAUGGUCCAGGGCUCUGGGCGUUUCGUUUCCAGUAUUCUAAAGCCUUUAUCUGUCUGGACUGUUCAGGACACAAGACUGCAUAUGGCAUUCUUCAUCAUUGAAGUCAGGGCAAGGGUUCAAGCAGCAACUGGAGCAGAAGCCAAAGAGAAGUACUGCCCACUGGCUUUCUUUCACAGCCCAGACCCACCUCCCAGGAGUGGGACAGCCCACGGUGCCCCGGGCCCUCACGGACCACUAAACAACAAGACAGUUCCUGGCAUACAUAGACACAUUGUGAUCUGGAC